UACAGAGGUCUCAAGCGUUGUUCGGAUUCAUUGGGCGUAAAGGGUGUGUAGGUGGCGCGCUAAGUCGGGUGUGAAAUUUCGGAGCUUAACUCCGAAACUGCAUUCGAUACUGGCGUGCUUGAGGACUGGAGAGGAGACUGGAAUUCCAGGUGUAGCGGUGAAAUGCGUAGAUAUCUGGAGGAACACCGGUGGCGAAGGCGGCGUUCUGGGACUGCAACUGACACUGAUGAACGAAAGCCAGGGGAGCAAACGGG
rnacentral:rRNA from 1 species